CCUCUUUUUUUUAUUCAUCGUUUGGUCUCAUUUUUUCCCCUGCUCAUUCACAAUAUCCCCCUCUUCUAAAAGACUAUCUUGAACUUGAGAGUCCCAUGAAGCUUGAUCAGCUUCUAAGAGAAAGUAAUAAAUAGCCUUUCUCCCUGGUUUUCCCUAAGCACUCUGUCCAGUGCCAGCAAACGGCUGGGUUGCUUGGAGAGGCGGAGGGCUGCGGGGCAGGGGCGGAGAAGGCCGCCCACCGCCGGCACCGAGCGCGCCCAGCUUCCUGGCCCAAGAAUGUGGGGUUGCUUUUCCCCAGCAUGAAACAGGGAUCAAGAACCCCUGGGAGUUCGCUUCCAUCUCUGCCGCUCGGACGCGUCCUGGGGCUGGACGCCAAUUACUUCAUCUUUGCCAUCCCCAGCACCCUCGGAGAAGUGGGGCUUGUAUUCUUAGUUGAAACUCGUCGAGACGCAUGCCCUUAAAUGGAUUGGGAAAAGCCUGGAAGAUGCUUCUGUCAAGUACUGCCUUUGGAAUACAAUCCAUCAGGAAGAAAAAGGAGAAUCUUUUUUUUUUCUCCUUUUCUCCCAUUUUCCCAGAUGUGAGAGGCCUAAGGAUCCUAAGCAAAAGCUGGAGAUGCAGGCAGCUCCAAACCAACUAGCCACUAGACAAGCUGAGAGUCCGCCCGUGUCUUCUUCUCCACUGCUUUGGUGUGCUGCUUCUAGUCCAGAGGGGCUGCUAGGCCCAGGCAGAAGCUAGAACCCAUGACUACCCUCCUCCAACCCCUGGCGAGUUCUGCUCUGGAACUGUUUCUGGUUCUAUGUGCAGAAUCAGUCAGGACCUAAAGAAUCUAACCAAGAGGUCCUGGUAAUACGAACUCUCACAAGGAAAGGGUUAGCUCUUAAUCUUUUUCCCCCCAAGAGGUUCCUUGAGCCAGUACAGAUUUACACCCCUCUUUCCACUACUGAGGGGCUAUUAA